rnacentral:tRNA from 1 species
GCCUUCGUGGUGUAGUGGUCUGAAUUCUCGACGCGUAACCGAGAGGUCCGUGGUUAGAUUCCCGGCGAAGGCG